GGGCAGGUAAGUCCGUGGUGAAAUCUCUGAGCUUAACUCAGAAACUGCCGUGGAUACUAUCUGUCUUGAAUACCGUGGAGAUGAGCGGAAUAUGUCAUGUAGCGGUGAAAUGCUUAGAUAUGACAUAGAACAUCAAUUGCGAAGGCAGCUCGUUACACGAAUAUUGACUCUGAGGCACGAAAGCGUGGGGAUCAAACAGGAUUAGAUACCCUGGUAGUCCACGCCCUAAACUAUGGAUACUCGACAUACGCGAUGCACUGUGUGUGUCUGAGCGAAAGCAUUAAGUAUCCCACCUGGGAAGUACGACCGCAAGGUUGAAACUCAAAGGAAUUGGCGGGGGUCCGCACAAGCGGUGGAGCAUGCGGUUUAAUUCGAUGAUACGCGAGGAACCUUACCUGGGCUAGAAUGCUAUCUGACCGUGGGUGAAAGCUCAUUUUGUCGCAAGACACAGAUAGUAAGGUGCUGCAUGGCUGUCGUCAGCUCGUGCCGUGAGGUGUUGGGUUAAGUCCCGCAACGAGCGCAACCCCCAUCACUGGUUGCCAUCAGGUAACGCUGGGAACUCUAGUGAAACUGCCGUCGUAAGACGCGAGGAAGGAGGGGAUGAUGUCAAGUCAUCAUGGCCUUUAUGCCCAGGGCUACGCACGUGCUACAAUGGGGCGUACAAAGGGCUGCCACUUAGCGAUAAGGAGCCAACCCCAAAAAACGCCUCUCAGUUCAGAUUGGAGUCUGCAACUCGACUCCAUGAAGC
rnacentral:rRNA from 1 species